rnacentral:rRNA from 1 species
UACGGAGGAUGCGAGCGUUAUCCGGAUUUAUUGGGUUUAAAGGGUGCGUAGGCGGCUUUUUAAGUCAGCGGUGAAAUUUUGCAGCUUAACUGUAACAGUGCCGUUGAUACUGGGGAGCUAGGAUUUGGUUGCUGUGGGUGGAAUGUGUGGUGUAGCGGUGAAAUGCUUAGAGAUCACACGGAAUAUCGAUUGCGAAGGCAGCUCACAAAGCCAAGAUUGACGCUGAGGCACGAAAGUGUGGGGAUCAAACAGGAUUAGAUA